GAUGAACGCUGGCGGCAUGCCUAAUACAUGCAAGUCUUGCGAACAGACGAGGAUCUUGCUCCUCUCACAUUAGCGCCGGACGGUUAAGUGACACGUAGUUAACCUGCCUAUAAGGCUGGGAGAACGUAAGGAAAGCGGAGAUAAGGCCAGGUCAGAUAUUCAACCGCAUAGUUCAAUGGCGAAAGAUGGUUUUGCUGUGACUUAUAGAUUGUUAGCCGCCUCAUUAGCUAGUUGGUAAGGUAAGGGCUUACCAAGGGAACGAUGCGUAGCCGACCUGGGAGGGUGAUCGGCCAGACCGGAGCUGAGACACGGUCACGAGUGCUACGGGAGGCAGCAGUAGGGAAUCUUCCGCAAUGGGCGAAAGCAUGACGGAGCAACGCCGCGUGAGUGAUGAAGGUAUUCGGAUCGUAAAAUUCUGUUAUUAGGGAAGAACAAAUGUGUAAGUAACUAUGAACGAAAUGACGGUACCUAAUCAGAAAGCCACGGCUAAAUACGUG
rnacentral:rRNA from 1 species